AAUUUCUGGAAAUUCCGAAAAUGAUUAAAAAUAAAAUGUCUGAUAUUUACAGAUGUUGAAGUACAGAAUAAGAGUCUUAGACUCAGUAAUUACCCGAUAAAGCUGUCGGUACGCCGACAAAUGUUAGACCUUAUAAAAGAAAGAAAAGACUACUGUAAGAGCAUGGAUGAGAUAUUUGAAAAAUGUAUAAAAAUAUUUCAAGUAUAG
rnacentral:lncRNA from 1 species